rnacentral:misc_RNA from 1 species
GAUGAAGAACGUAGCGAAAUGCGAAAAGUAAUGUGAAUUGCAGAAUUCAGUGAAUCAUCGAAUCUUUGAACGCACAUUGCGCCCGCUGGUACUCCGGCGGGCACGCCUGUCCGAGCGUCAUUUCAACCCUCAAGCCCUCCUUCGGGAUGGGCCUGGUGUUGGGGCUCGGCCGCCAUCUCCGGCGGCCGUCCCCUAAAUACAGUGGCGGUCACGUCGCGACUCCUUUGCGUAGUAGAAACACCUCGCUCCGGAUAGCAACGCGGUCCACGCCGUAAAAUCCCCAAUUUUCAAUGGUUGACCUCGGAUCAGGUAGGAAUACCCGCUGAACUUAAGCAUAUCAAUAAGCGGAGGA